CGCGUGAGUAACCUGCCUUACACAAGGGGAUAGCCUCUGGAAACGGAGAAUAAUACCCUAUGACAUUACAGCCUCGCAUGAAGCAGUAAUCAAAGUGUUUAGCGGUGUAAGAUGGACUUGCGUCUGAUUAGCUAGUUGGUGAGAUAACAGCUCACCAAGGCAACGAUCAGUAGCCGGCUUGAGAGAGUGUACGGCCACAUUGGGACUGAGACACGGCCCAG
rnacentral:rRNA from 1 species